rnacentral:rRNA from 1 species
AUGUGGAAGGACAGACAUACAUGGACAUGGACAUGUGGGUUGCACAGGAGAAGCUCUGGCGGACGGACGGACGCCGUGGUGGCAGCGGCAGCGGCAAUCAUUGAAGCUUCCCUUGUGCUUGUGCGGCCUCCUUGUCCUCCAUCUCACAUGGCAUGGCGGGUCUGCUCGGCGACUCCCUCUGGUCCGGUUCCCCGGCGGCGGGAUGGCGCCACCUGCUCUCAGUUAAAACCCCUGUGUCAUUGGUUCUGCUCCUGGCCCCAGGUGCUCCUACCCAAGUGCCCUGCCAUGCCAUGCCACGGUGUCCAAGAUCAAAUUCUUUAG